rnacentral:rRNA from 1 species
CAGUAGCGUAUAUUAAUAUUGUUGCAGUUAAAAGGCUCGUAGUCGAAUGUUUGAAUUUCAAAGUUUACCCGUAUCUAGAAUAAUGAGUGUAAACAUUUGUGAUCAUAUUUUGAAAUAAUGCCUGCUCUUGACUGAGUUGGGUAUUCAUCUCAAAGCUUUUACUGUGAAUAAAUCAAUGUGUUCAAAGCGGAUGAAAGUCCGGAAUGCUACAGCAUGGAAUAAAAAUAUACGGCUUGGAGUCUUUUUUUGGCUUCUAGAAACCAAGUAAUGAUCGAAAGAAGUAAUUGGGGGUGCUAGUACUUGACGGCAAGUGGUGAAAUGCUUAGACCCGUUAAAGACUAUCUAAAGCGAAAGCAUUCACCAAAGAUAUUUUCUUUGA